UACGUAGGGUGCAAGCGUUAAUCGGAAUUACUGGGCGUAAAGCGUGCGCAGGCGGUUUUGUAAGUCUGUCGUGAAAUCCCCGGGCUCAACCUGGGAAUGGCGAUGGAGACUGCAAGGCUAGAGUUUGGCAGAGGGGGGGUAGAAUUCCACGUGUAGCAGUGAAAUGCGUAGAGAUGUGGAGGAACACCGAUGGCGAAGGCAGCCCCCCUGGGUCAAAACUGACGCUCAUGCACGAAAGCGUGGGGAGCAAACAGG
rnacentral:rRNA from 1 species